rnacentral:rRNA from 1 species
CCUACGGGAGGCAGCAGUGAGGAAUCUUGGUCAAUGGACGAGAGUCUGAACCAGCCACGUAGCGUGAAGGAUGACUGCCCUAUGGGCUGUAAACUUCUUUUUUAUGGGAAUAAAAUUUUCCACGUGACGGUUCUUGUAUGUACCAUAUGAAUAAAGAUCGGCUAACUUCGUGCCAGCAGCCGCGGUAAUACAGAGGGUCCGAGCGUUAUCCGGACUUAUUGGGUUUAAAGGGAGCGUAGGGUGGUUGUUAAGUCAGUUGUGAAAGGUGGCGGCUCAACCGUGGCGUGUCAGUGGAAACUGGCAAUCUUGAGUACAGAAGAGGAGAGUGGAAUUCGAGGUGUAGCGGUGAAAUGCUUAGAUAUAUCGAAGAACUCCAGUGGCGAAGGCGACUCACUGGACUGUAACUGACACUGAGGCUCGAAAGUGUGGGUAUCAAACAGGAUUAGAUACCCUUGUAGUC